GAUGAACGCUGGCGGCGCGCCUAACACAUGCAAGUCGAACGAUUAAAGCACCUUCGGGUGUGUAUAAAGUGGCGAACGGCUGAGUAACACGUGGGCAACCUGCCCCUCUCAUUGGGAUAGCCACGGGAAACCGUGGAUAAUACCGAAUACUUCGAGACUUCCGCAUGGAAGACUCGAGAAAGCUCCGGCGGAGAGGGAUGGGCCCGCGGCCUGUUAGCUUGUUGGUGGGGUAACGGCCUACCAAGGCAAUGAUGGGUAGCUGGGUUGAGAGACCGACCAGCCAGAUUGGGACUGAGACACGGCCCAGACUCCUACGGGAGGCAGCAGUGGGGAAUCUUGCACAAUGGGCGAAAGCCUGAUGCAGCGACGCCGCGUGCGGGAUGAAGGCCUUCGGGUUGUAAACCGCUUUCAGCAGGGACGAGGCGAAAGUGACGGUACCUGCAGAAGAAGCCCCGGCUAACUACGUGCCAGCAGCCGCGGUAAUACGUAGGGGGCAAGCGUUAUCCGGAAUUACUGGGUGUAAAGGGAGCGUAGACGGUUAAACAAGUCUGAAGUGAAAUGCCGGGGCUCAACCUCGGAGCUGCUUUGGAAACUGUAGAACUGGAGUGUCGGAGGGGUAAGCGGAAUUCCCAGUGUAGCGGUGAAAUGCGUAGAUAUUUGGGAGGGAACACCGGCGGCGAAGGCGGCUUACUGGACGACAACUGACGUUGAGGCUCGAAGGCGUGGGUAGCAAACAGG
rnacentral:rRNA from 1 species